GACGUAGGGCGCGAGCGUUGUCCGGAUUUAUUGGGCGUAAAGAGCUCGUAGGCGGUUUGUCGCGUCGUUCGUGAAAACUCACAGCUCAACUGUGAGCUUGCGGUCGAUACGGGCAGGCUAGAGUUCGGUAGGGGAGACUGGAAUUCCUGGUGUAGCGGUGAAAUGCGCAGAUAUCAGGAGGAACACCGGUGGCGAAGGCGGGUCUCUGGGCCGUAACUGACGCUGAGGAGCGAAAGCAUGGGGAGCGAACAGG
rnacentral:rRNA from 1 species